ensembl:misc_RNA 7SK 7SK RNA
AGAUGUGAGGGUGAUCUGGCUGCAACAUCUGUCACCCCACUGAUGGCCAGGGUUAAUUUGUCUGAUCUGGCUGGCGAGGUGGGUGUCCCCUUCCUUCCUCAUCACUCCACGCGUCCCUCCAGACGCUGCGGACGACCUUCCCCAAUAGAGGAGGGCCGUUCUUUGGCCAAGGGUAUAUGAGUAGAUGCAUGCCCCUGCUAGAACCUCCCAACAAGCUCUCUAAAAGUAAUUACUUCAAAGGAGGGAUUGAGAGUUUCAUCCUCUAUGACAGAGUUAAUUUUUCCUUUUUUUUUUUAAUAAAGGUUGUCCUU